UCGGCAAUAGUUUAGUGGCUAGAAUUUCCGCCUGUCAAAGUUAUCUUGUUAUAACAGCGCGCGGGGGACCGGGGUUCAAUUCCCCGUUGCCGAG